rnacentral:rRNA from 1 species
AACGCGUGGGAACCUGCCUUUAGGUUCGGAAUAACUCAGAGAAAUUUGAGCUAAUACCGGAUAAUGUCUUCGGACCAAAGAUUUAUCGCCUUUAGAUGGGCCCGCGUUAGAUUAGAUAGUUGGUGGGGUAACGGCCUACCAAGUCGACGAUCUAUAGCUGGUCUGAGAGGAUGAUCAGCCACACUGGGACUGAGACACGGCCCAGACUCCUACGGGAGGCAGCAGUGGGGAAUAUUGGACAAUGGGCGAAAGCCUGAUCCAGCAAUGCCGCGUGAGUGAUGAAGGCCUUAGGGUUGUAAAGCUCUUUUACCAGGGAUGAUAAUGACAGUACCUGGAGAAUAAGCUCCGGCUAACUCCGUGCCAGCAGCCGCGGUAAUACGGAGGGAGCUAGCGUUGUUCGGAAUUACUGGGCGUAAAGCGCGCGUAGGCGGCUUUUCAAGUCAGGGGUGAAAUCCCGAGGCUCAACCUCGGAACUGCCCUUGAAACUGGAUGGCUAGAAU